AUUGUGUCUUGAGCAGAAAAAAAGUUACAGAAGACCUUUGACCUGUUUCAACUAAGUCAUUUUGUUUUGAUUUCUAAACCUUUCUUUCUCCUAUUAAUUUUACAAAAAUAGUAAUUCAAUUCAACAGAUUGAAAUUGACAUUGGUACAGAAUCGCCACAAAAAUGGCUGGAUUGGAAGAAUUGAGAAAGAAGCUGACACCAUUGUUCGAUUCCGAAAAGGGUUUCUCUUCAUCCUCAACCUUCGACCCUUCCGAUUCUUACACGCUGUCGGACGGUGGAACAGUCAACUUAUUGAGCCAAUCGUAUGGUGUUUACAACAUCAAUGAGCUCGGGUUGCAGAAAUGCACAGCUUCGGCUGCUAUGGUGGACGCGACCUUCGAGAGUGAGAAGACUUAUCGAUGUGCCUCGCAUGAGAUGAGGGUAUUCGGAGCGAUAGGGAAUGGCGCCAGUAGUGUUGUUCAGAGAGCUAUUCAUAUUCCGACUCAUCGAAUUUUAGCUCUAAAGAAGAUCAAUAUUUUUGAGAAGGAAAAAAGACAACAGCUUUUGACAGAAAUAAGGACACUGUGUGAGGCACCUUGUUAUGAAGGUCUUGUGGAAUUUCAUGGUGCGUUUUAUACGCCAGACUCUGGUCAAAUUAGCAUAGCUUUGGAAUAUAUGGAUGGAGGGUCUUUGGCUGAUAUCCUAAAGCUGAGAAAGAAAAUACCCGAACCCGUUCUUUCCUCUAUGUUUCAAAAACUUCUACAUGGAUUGAGCUACUUACAUGGAGUUAGGCAUCUAGUUCACAGAGAUAUAAAGCCUGCGAAUUUGCUUGUGAAUCUUAAAGGAGAGCCAAAAAUAACUGAUUUUGGAAUUAGUGCUGGUUUAGAGAAUUCAGUGGCAAUGUGUGCCACUUUUGUUGGGACCGUUACGUACAUGUCGCCAGAGCGGAUUAGAAAUGACAACUAUUCUUACCCAGCUGAUAUUUGGAGCCUUGGUCUUGCUCUGUUUGAAUGUGGAACUGGAGAAUUCCCAUAUACAGCUACUGAAGGACCUGUUAACCUUAUGUUGCAGAUAUUGGAGGAUCCUUCUCCCUCACCUUCUAAACACAAUUUUUCACCAGAGUUCUGCUCAUUUAUCGAAGCCUGUUUACAGAAAGAUGCAGAUGCUAGGCCAACAGCUGAGCAGCUACUCUCACACCCAUUCAUCAUCAAGUACAAAGACACCCAAGUAGACUUGGCAGAAUUUGUAAAAAGCAUGUUUGAUCCAACACAAAAGAUGAAGGACUUGGCAGAUAUGCUGACAAUACAUUAUUAUCAACUCUUUGAUGGACCCGAUGACCUCUGGCAACAUUCAAAGACUUUAUUCAACGACGACUCAAUUUUCAGUUUCUCCGGAAAGCAAUCAGUUGGUGGAAAUGAAAUCUUUGCGACUCUAUCAAGCAUAAGAAGUACAUUAGCCGGUGACUGGCCUUCUGAAAGACUUGUACAUGUUGUGGAAAAACUUCAAUGUCGUGCUCAUGGUCAAGAUGGAGUUGCAAUAAGAGUAUCAGGAACCUUCAUUAUUGGGAAUCAGUUCCUUAUAUGUGGAGAUGGCUUACAACCAGAAGGGUUGCCCAACUUUAAAGAUCUAUCUAUCGAUCUUUCUAGUAGGAGAAUGGGCACAUUUCGUGAGCAGUUCAUUAUGGAACCAAGUAGUGUUAUCGGCCGCUACUUCAUAUCAAAACAGGAGCUAUAUAUUAUGCAGUGAAAGGCUGAAAUAGAUUAUGAUGAAUCUUAACUAACUAAACAAACUUCGCUUGGUGCAUUUGCCUAAUUCUCUUCAUUUCAAAGUCUCACAAUCACAAAACACCAGGAAAUACCAACCGGACAGGCAAUUUGUUUCAGCCAAUCAGUGAUAUUUGUACAUAACCACUCGCCAAUUUACUCAGUACGCACCUCUCAAGUUGUAAACGUGUUGAGAACAUGAUAUUUAUUCCUUUUUGGCUAAAAGAAUGUAAUCAUAAUUUAUAACCAAUUGACUAGUAAUCCUAAAUGUGCCACAACUUGAAAUGUUACACUUUUAGAGCUCGUUUAGGACGCCGUAUUAAAUUAUAUUGUAUUAUAUUAUAUUGAAUUGUAUUUUAUACAAUAUUUUUAUAAAAAAUUGUUGAGAUUAAACUCA